UGGGGAAUAUUGCACAAUGGGCGAAAGCCUGAUGCAGCAACGCCGCGUGAGGGACGACGGCCGUUCGGUUGAUAACCUCUUUUAGCAAGGAAGAAGCGAAAGUGACGGUACUUGCAGAAAAAGCGCCGGCUAACUACGUGCCAGCAGCCGCGGUAAUACGUAGGGCGCAAGCGUUAUCCGGAAUUAUUGGGCGUAAAGAGCUCGUAGGCGGUUUGUCGCGUCUGCUGUGAAAACCCGAGGCUCAACCUCGGGCCUGCAGUGGGUACGGGCAGACUAGAGUGCGGUAGGGGAGAUUGGAACUCCUGGUGUAGCGGUGGAAUGCGCAGAUAUCAGGAAGAACACCGAUGGCGAAGGCAGAUCUCUGGGCCGUAACUGACGCUGAGGAGCGAAAGGGUGGGGAGCAAACAGGCUUAGAUACCCUGGUAGUCCACCCGUAAACGUUGGGAACUAGUUGUGGGGUCCAUUCCACGGAUUCCGUGACGCAGCUAACGCAUUAAGUUCCCCGCCUGGGGAGUACGGCCGCAAGG
rnacentral:rRNA from 1 species